rnacentral:rRNA from 1 species
CUGCACUCUGGGACAUGCCCUGGAAACGGGGUCUAAUACCGGAUACUGACCCGCUUGGGCAUCCCAGCGGGUCGAAAGCUCCGGCGGUGCAGGAUGAGCCCGCGGCCUAUCACCUUGUUGGUGAGGUAAUGGCUCACCAAGGCGACGACGGGUAGCCGGCCUGAGAGGGCGACCGGCCACACUGGGACUGAGACACGGCCCAGACUCCUACGGGAGGCAGCAGUGGGGAAUAUUGCACAAUGGGCGAAAGCCUGAUGCAGCGACGCCGCGUGAGGGAUGACGGCCUUCGGGUUGUAAACCUCUUUCAGCAGGGAAGAAGCGAAAGUGACGGUACCUGCAGAAGAAGCGCCGGCUAACUACGUGCCAGCAGCCGCGGUAAUACGUAGGGCGCAAGCGUUGUCCGGAAUUAUUGGGCGUAAAGAGCUCGUAGGCGGCUUGUCACGUCGGUUGUGAAAGCCCGGGGCUUAACCCCGGGUCUGCAGUCGAUACGGGCAGGCUAGAGUUCGGUAGGGGAGAUCGGAAUUCCUGGUGUACGGUGAAAUGCGCAGAUAUCAGGAGGAACACCGGUGGCGAAGGCGGAUCUCUGGGCCGAUACUGACGCUGAGGAGCGAAAGCGUGGGGAGCGAACAGGAUUAGAUACCCUGGUAGUCCACGCCGUAAACGGUGGGCACUAGGUGUGGGCACAUUCCACGUUGUCCGGCCGCAGCUAACGCAUUAAGUGCCCCCCUGGGAAGUACGGCCGCAAGCUAAAACUCAAGGAAUUGACGGGGCCCCACAAGCGGCGAGCAGUGGCUUAUUCGACCCACGCGAAGAACUUACCAAGGCUUGACUACACCGGAAACCCUGGAGACAGGUCCCCCUUGUGGCGGUGUACAGGGGGGAGGCUGUCGUAACUCGGUCGGGAAUGUGGGUUAAGCCCCCACGAGGCAACCCUGUCCCUGGUUCCAGCAGCCCUCGUGUGCUGGUGAUCCCAGGAAACGCCGCGUCACUCGCAGCAGGUGGGACAAGUGAAGCGUCAUGCCCUUAGUCUUGGCUUCGCCGAGCACAGUGCCGCGAAGUUGCUGCGAUGCCGCGAG